rnacentral:tRNA from 1 species
GGGGCCAUAGCUCAGCUGGGAGAGCGCCGGCUUUGCAAGCCGGAGGUCGUGGGUUCGAUCCCCACUGGCUCCA